rnacentral:tRNA from 1 species
GCUACUGUGGUGGAAUAGGGAUACACAGGGGACUUAAAAUCCCCCGACUGAACAGUCAUGCGGGUUCGACUCCCGCCAGUAGCACCA